rnacentral:rRNA from 1 species
ACGAUCAGCCACACGGGGACUGAGACACGGCCCAGACGCCUACUGGAGGCAGCAGUGGGGAAUAUUGGACAAUGGGGGCAACCCUGAUCCAGCCAUGCCGCGUGAGUGAAGAAGGCCUUAGGGUUGUAAAGCUCUUUCGCCGGAGAAGAUAAUGACGGUAUUCGGAGAAGAAGCCCCGGCUAACUUCGUGCCAGCAGCCGCGGUAAUACGAAGGGGGCGAGCGUUGUUCGGAAUAACUGGGCGUAAAGGGCGCGUAGGCGGGCGAUUAAGUUAGAGGUGAAAUCCCAGGGCUCAACCUUGGAACUGCCUUUAAUACUGGUUGUCUAGAGUUUAGGAGAGGUGAGUGGAAUUCCGAGUGUAGAGGUGAAAUUCGUAGAUAUUCGGAGGAACACCGGUGGCGAAGGCGGCUCACUGGCCUGAUACUGACGCUGAGGCGCGAAAGCGUGGGGAGCAAACAGGAUUAGAUACCCUGGUAGUCCACGCCGUAAACGAUGAGUGCUAGCUGUUGGGUGGUUUACCAUUCAGUGGCGCAGCUAACGCAUUAAGCACUCCGCCU